AACGAACGCUGGCGGCGCGCCUAAUACAUGCAAGUCGAGCGAGAAGACGUAGCAAUACGUUUGUAAAGCGGCGAACGGGUGAGGAAUGCAUGGGUAACCUACCCUCGAGUGGGGAAUAACUAGCCGAAAGGUUAGCUAAUACCGCGUACGCUCCUUGGACUUCGGUUCAGGGAGGAAAGCGAUACCGUGGGUAUCGCGCUCUUGGAUGGGCUCAUGUCCUAUCAGCUUGNGGUGAGGUAACGGCUCACCAAGGCUUCGACGGGUAGCUGGUCUGAGAGGACGAUCAGCCACACUGGCACUGCGACACGGGCCAGACUCCGUACGGGAGGCAGCAGUAAGGAAUAUUGCGCAAGUGGGACGAAAGCCUGACGCAGCGACGCCGCGGUGGGGG
rnacentral:rRNA from 1 species